rnacentral:lncRNA from 1 species
UAGUGGUAUGGAAUGUAUGAUCUUUAUUAAUUUUUAAUCCAUCAAUCUAAAAUCACACAUACUAGAUCAAACAGAAGUACCACAGUAUGCUUUAUUUUGCAGGUAUUAAUUGGUUCUCUAAAUCGAUACAUCCAAAACUUUAGUUAGCAGCAAGCAUCAGUUCUUCCAAAGCAGCUUAGGUGAAAAACAAUUGUUUACAUUCACCAGUUCAAAGUCGUACUGUCUGAUCCACUGUUGUAUUGACAUAAAAUUGCACGUUGAUGUUCUUUUGAACAAGUUUG